rnacentral:snoRNA from 1 species
AUUAUGGAUGAUUAUAAAAAUAAUUUCUCGUUCUAACUUGCUUAAUUUGGGCAUCACAAACCUCUUAUUACACCCAUAGAAUCUAAGCUA